UACGUAGGUGGCAAGCGUUGUCCGGAUUUACUGGGCGUAAAGAGCGUGUAGGCGGUCCGGUAAGUCGGCUGUGAAAGUCCAGGGCUCAACCCUGGGAUGCCGGUCGAUACUGCCGGACUAGAGUUCGGAAGAGGCGAGUGGAAUUCCAGGUGUAGCGGUGAAAUGCGUAGAUAUCUGGAGGAACACCGGUGGCGAAGGCGACAUCCUGGACCGGUAUUGACGCUGAGGCGCGAAAGCCAGGGGAGCAAACGGG
rnacentral:rRNA from 1 species